rnacentral:rRNA from 1 species
AUGAGCGAAGGGAGCCAUCUCAGCCAUAUAGGAGCAACUCUAGCAGAACCACUAUCUUGUGGAGUAUGCGCCAUGUGGGAUUUUAUCAUCAUGGUCAUCAAAUCUGACCUCCCUUGGUUUGCAGUCCUUUGGAGCACACUCUAUCCACCAGCGAAGGAAGUUUCAGCUUGCCCACCUGCUGCCCUCGCCCAGAGUCCGGCACAUUUCGUCGUGGUUGGGGCGGUGUGCUCCCGUGUCCGUGCUCUAGCUCGCCCUUCUUCAGAAUCAACACCUCGACGUCCAUCCUCAUCUCACCCCUGCUUCCUCGCAACAUAA